AGAUUGAACGCUGGCGGCAUGCUUUACACAUGCAAGUCGAACGGUAACAGGCCGCAAGGUGCUGACGAGUGGCGAACGGGUGAGUAAUGUAUCGGAACGUGCCCAGUCGUGGGGGAUAACGCAGCGAAAGCUGCGCUAAUACCGCAUACGAUCUAUGGAUGAAAGCGGGGGACCGUAAGGCCUCGCGCGAUUGGAGCGGCCGAUAUCAGAUUAGGUAGUUGGUGGGGUAAAGGCUCACCAAGCCAACGAUACUGUAGCUGGUCUGAGAGGACGACCAGCCACACUGGGACUGAGACACGGCCCAGACUCCUACGGGAGCAGCAGUGGGGAAUUUGGACAAGUGGG
rnacentral:rRNA from 1 species